GUAUCUUUCAAGUACCCAUGGGCCAAGUGCUAGAAAUGGCUGUUUAAAAUCAGUGACCGCAAGAAGCGGUAGGAAUACCCGUGUACUGGGUUCGGAGGGAAGCGAAUUUUACGGCGAAUUAGGGUUUAAGGAGAAAGGAGAAGGGGUUAUGGAGUUUGAACCCAGAAUGGGAAAUGAUAAGGGAAGUGACUCGCCUGGUUUGGAUGUUCUUGAAUUGAAAGAUGAGAAGAGGAGUGGAAAGAAUG
rnacentral:misc_RNA from 1 species